UGGGAGGACCAUCUCCUAAGGCUAAAUACUCUCUAGUGACCGAUAGUGAACCAGUACCGUGAGGGAAAGGUGAAAAGCACCCCGGAAGGGGAGUGAAAUAGAACCUGAAACCGUGUGCUUACAAGUAGUCAGAGCCCGUUAAUGGGUGAUGGCGUGCCUUUUGUAGAAUGAACCGGCGAGUUACGAUUUGAUGCAAGGUUAAGCAGUAAAUGUGGAGCCGUAGCGAAAGCGAGUCUGAAUAGGGCGUUUAGUAUUUGGUCGUAGACCCGAAACCAGGUGAUCUACCCUUGGUCAGGUUGAAGUUCAGGUAACACUGAAUGGAGGACCGAACCGACUUACGUUGAAAAGUGAGCGGAUGAACUGAGGGUAGCGGAGAAAUUCCAAUCGAACCUGGAGAUAGCUGGUUCUCUCCGAAAUAGCUUUAGGGCUAGCCUCAAGUGAUGAUUAUUGGAGGUAGAGCACUGUUUGGACGAGGGGCCCCUCUCGGGUUACCGAAUUCAGACAAACUCCGAAUGCCAAUUAAUUUAACUUGGGAGUCAGAACAUGGGUGAUAAGGUCCGUGUUCGAAAGGGAAACAGCCCAGACCACCAGCUAAGGUCCCAAAAUAUAUGUUAAGUGGAAAAGGAUGUGGCGUUGCCCAGACAACUAGGAUGUUGGCUUAGAAGCAGCCAUCAUUUAAAGAGUGCGUAAUAGCUCACUAGUCGAGUGACACUGCGCCGAAAAUGUACCGGGGCUAAACAUAUUACCGAAGCUGUGGAUUGUCCUUUGGACAAUGGUAGGAGAGCGUUCUAAGGGCGUUGAAGCAUGAUCGUAAGGACAUGUGGAGCGCUUAGAAGUGAGAAUGCCGGUGUGAGUAGCGAAAGACGGGUGAGAAUCCCGUCCACCGAUUGACUAAGGUUUCCAGAGGAAGGCUCGUCCGCUCUGGGUUAGUCGGGUCCUAAGCUGAGGCCGACAGGCGUAGGCGAUGGAUAACAGGUUGAUAUUCCUGUACCACCUAUAAUCGUUUUAAUCGAUGGGGGGACGCAGUAGGAUAGGCGAAGCGUGCGAUUGGAUUGCACGUCUAAGCAGUAAGGCUGAGUAUUAGGCAAAUCCGGUACUCAUUAAGGCUGAGCUGUGAUGGGGAGAAGACAUUGUGUCUUCGAGUCGUUGAUUUCACACUGCCGAGAAAAGCCUCUAGAUAGAAAAUAGGUGCCCGUACCGCAAACCGACACAGGUAGUCAAGAUGAGAAUUCUAAGGUGAGCGAGCGAACUCUCGUUAAGGAACUCGGCAAAAUGACCCCGUAACUUCGGGAGAAGGGGUGCUCUUUAGGGUUAACGCCCAGAAGAGCCGCAGUGAAUAGGCCCAAGCGACUGUUUAUCAAAAACACAGGUCUCUGCUAAACCGUAAGGUGAUGUAUAGGGGCUGACGCCUGCCCGGUGCUGGAAGGUUAAGAGGAGUGGUUAGCUUCUGCGAAGCUACGAAUCGAAGCCCCAGUAAACGGCGGCCGUAACUAUAACGGUCCUAAGGUAGCGAAAUUCCUUGUCGGGUAAGUUCCGACCCGCACGAAAGGCGUAACGAUUUGGGCACUGUCUCAACGAGAGACUCGGUGAAAUCAUAGUACCUGUGAAGAUGCAGGUUACCCGCGACAGGACGGAAAGACCCCGUGGAGCUUUACUGUAGCCUGAUAUUGAAAUUCGGCACAGCUUGUACAGGAUAGGUAGGAGCCUUUGAAACGUGAGCGCUAGCUUACGUGGAGGCGCUGGUGGGAUACUACCCUAGCUGUGUUGGCUUUCUAACCCGCACCACUUAUCGUGGUGGGAGACAGUGUCAGGCGGGCAGUUUGACUGGGGCGGUCGCCUCCUAAAAGGUAACGGAGGCGCUCAAAGGUUCCCUCAGAAUGGUUGGAAAUCAUUCAUAGAGUGUAAAGGCAUAAGGGAGCUUGACUGCGAGACCUACAAGUCGAGCAGGGUCGAAAGACGGACUUAGUGAUCCGGUGGUUCCGCAUGGAAGGGCCAUCGCUCAACGGAUAAAAG
rnacentral:rRNA from 1 species